rfam:Corchorus olitorius cultivar O-4 contig03850, whole genome shotgun sequence.
GCUAGAUUGGCCGAAAGGUGAGGCAUCGGAUUGCAAAUCCGUUCAAUGGGGGUUCGAAUCCCUCAUCUAGCU